rnacentral:rRNA from 1 species
AAUAUUGGACAAUGGGGGCAACCCUGAUCCAGCCAUGCCGCGUGUGUGAAGAAGGUCUUCGGAUUGUAAAGCACUUUAAGUUGGGAGGAAGGGCUUUAGGCUAAUACCCUGAAGUUUUGACGUUACCAACAGAAUACGCACCGGCUCACUUUGUUCCAGCAGCCGCGGUAAUACAGAGGGUGCAAGCGUUAAUCGGAAUUACUGGGCGUAAAGCGCGCGUAGGUGGUUCGUUAAGUUGGAAGUGAAAGCCCCGGGCUUAACCUGGGAAUUGCUUUCAAAACUGACGAGCUAGAGUACGGUAGAGGGUAGUGGAAUUUCCUGUGUAGCAGUGAAGUGCGUAGAUAUAGGAAGGAACAUCAGUGGCGAAGGCGACUACCUGGACUGAUACUGACACUGAGGUACGAAAGCGUGGGGAGCAAACA